rnacentral:rRNA from 1 species
UGGAAAGAUGAAUCAUAGAAGGUAAUAAUCCUGUAGUCGAAAGUUUAUUCUCUCUUGAGUGGAUCCUGAGUACGACGGAGCACGUGAAAUUCCGUCGGAAUCUGGGAGGACCAUCUCCUAAGGCUAAAUACUCUCUAGUGACCGAUAGUGAACCAGUACCGUGAGGGAAAGGUGAAAAGUACCCCGGAAGGGGAGUGAAAUAGAACUUGAAACCGUGUGCUUACAAGUAGUCAGAGCCCGUUAAUGGGUGAUGGCGUGCCUUUUGUAGAAUGAACCGGCGAGUUACGAUUUGAUGCAAGGUUAAGCAGUGAAUGUGGAGCCGUAGCGAAAGCGAGUCUGAAUAGGGCGUUGAGUAUUUG